UAAACAACUUCUCAAUUUUGCAGAACUUGCACUGCAAAAAUUUGUUCUUCGUUCAAGUGAUCUCUAUGGUGAUAAUUUUCUUUCUUAUAAUGUGCACAGUCUUCUUCAUAUGACUAACGAUAUCCGGCAGUUAGGAAGUUUAGAUUCUUUUUCUGCUUUCCCAUAUGAAAGCAACAUGUCCAUUUUUAAGAAAUACUGUAGAAAACCGGGUCAGCCACUUCAACAGUUCUUUAAUAGGAUGAAGGAAAUAGAAAUGCAUGGCACAAAGUGCAAUCAGGAAAUAGAUUCGUCAAUUCGUGUAUUUAUGCCACUGAAUAAUGGUGCUACUUUUUCACAGUAUCGUAAGAUACAAUUUAAUCAGAUACUUUUAAGUUCAGAUGUACGUGAUAGUUGCUGCAUGUUGCAUGAUGGCUCUAUAUGCAUUGUCUUCAAUAUAUUCGUACAUGAUUCUUCCUAUUACUUGGAAGUAAAGAAAUUUUUAAAAAUAGACGACUUUUACGAUAUUGGUAUACCAUCUUCAAAUGUAUCUAUUCAAGUGUUCAAAUGUAGUAAUUUAUGCAGUGAUUUUCUUUUAGUGAAUGUUAACGAAGUAAAAGUUAAAUGUUUCAGAAUGCCUUUUUGGCACUGCUCUUUAACGGAUGACACCGAAAGUGACGAUUAUGAGGAAACCCACAGAGAAACAGGCACAUAUAUUGUUGCAACAAUCAUACAUAGUGAAGUGAUUAAGUGUUUUUCCUAUUAGUUAUCAGGAGUUUAAUAUUUACACAGAGUGAACUGUUUACAGUGUUUCUGUUAAUAAUUUUCUUUUCAAUGCACGUGAAAAAAAUAUUUUAGAAUACAUCGAUGACGAUACUUUUCGACCAGUCUUAAAAAAUGAAUGUGAAUUAGGCCUAUAGGGGAAAUCACAUAAAAAAAAACGCGCCAAAUUAUGUACCGCAAGGUGGUGAGGAAACCAUAAUCUUUGCAAAAAAACUACACCAAAUAUUGAACGAAUCUCAUAGUGUUGAGUAUAAAGAAUUGAAUAACGUAAUCCUUAUGAUAUCGCAUCUGUACAACUUGGAAGUAAUUUUUUUAAAUAUUAACGAUGUAGACCUAUUUUGUGCGACUUCCCAUAAAUUCACCAGUGAAAUAUGUAGUUACGGUAAUUGACUAUAACAUAACUACAAGGUUUCCUUAAAGUUUGAAAAAAAAAUAUUUUCUUUUAUACCCAAUGCCAAACAAAGCAAUGGCUAGAUGUAUAGCUGCCUUAUAAUUAUGCAUCGACUUGCAUGGAGGAAAUGAGAUGAUAAUUUGUUACCUAUGGGAAAGAAGCAUUUGAAAAUGAAUUCUGAAGACGCCGAAGUGCCUACUUUGCCGGACGAAAGGAGGGCUGAUUUUUCGGAACUUAGACCUGGUACAACAGAAGACAAUAUUAUUUUAAAAAGAUAGUUGGAGCAUUGACGGAUUGUAAGCCAAUAGUCGGAGUGCCGUCUUAUCUAUAUUAAUAGGGAAUUAAGUUCUUCUCUACCAGAGGAGCAAAAUACACGCAGCAGACGUACUUAUCCUUCUGAAGAAUCGGCCGUUGGAUUUGGCAUAUUCACAUUGGAAAGUAGCUUCUUUUAUUUUGUAUAUCAUUUAAUGUGUAUAACAAUAAAGAUUUUUAUCAGAACAA
rnacentral:lncRNA from 1 species